rnacentral:lncRNA from 1 species
AUCAUGUUCCAGCAUAUUAUGUGGAAUAUUCAAUCAAAGAAGUUAGGUUGUUCUCCAGAAUUGGCUCUCUCCUAAAGGUCAAAAC